AGGACAGUGGCGCAAUUGGUAGCGCAACGGUCUCCAAAACCGUAGGUUGUGGGUUCGAGUCCCGCCUGUCCUG
rnacentral:tRNA from 2 species